rnacentral:misc_RNA from 1 species
GAUGAAGAACGUAGCGAAAUGCGAUAAGUAAUGUGAAUUGCAGAAUUCAGUGAAUCAUCGAAUCUUUGAACGCACCUUGCACCCUUUGGUAUUCCGAAGGGUAUGCUCGUUUGAGUGUCAUUGUACUCUCACACUUCUAAUUCCUUUCGGGAUUGGGAGCGGUGGACUUGGGUGUUGCUGCUUUAGUUGUGGCUCACCUCAAAUAAGUUAGUGCAACUCUUGGUUGGACAUAGUACGGCGUGAUAAGUGUCUUCGCCGGCGCCUCUGUAAGGAGGGUGGCCGAUCGGGAGCUCUGUGCUUAAAACCGUCUUCGGACAAUCUUUGACAACUUGACCUCAAAUCGAGUAGGACUACCCGCUGAACUUAAGCAUAUCAAUAAGCGAGGA